CCUACGGGUGGCUGCAGUGAGGAAUAUUGGUCAAUGGACGAGAGUCUGAACCAGCCAAGUAGCGUGAAGGAUGACUGCCCUCUGGGUUGUAAACUUCUUUUAUAUGGGAAUACAAUGUUCCACGUGUGGGAUUUUGUAUGUACCAUAUGAAUAAGGAUCGGCUAACUCCGUGCCAGCCGCCGCGGUAAUACGGAGGAUCCGAGCGUUAUCCGGAUUUAUUGGGUUUAAAGGGAGCGUAGGUGGAUUGUUAAGUCAGUUGUGAAAGUUUGCGGCUCAACGGUAAAAUUGCAGUUGAAACUGGCAGGCUGGAGUACAGUAGAGGUGGGCGGAAUUCGUGGUGUAGCAGUGAAAUGCUUAGAUAUCACGAAGAACUCCGAUUGCGAAGGCAGUUCACUGGACUGCAACUGACACUGAGGCUCGAAAGUGUGGGUAGCAAACAGGAUUAGAUACCCUGGUAGUC
rnacentral:rRNA from 1 species